GUCGGAGCCGGCCCGAGGAGGAGGAGGAUCCUAGGACCCAGGAUUUUAACACCCUGGGAGAGGUGGAACUCAGAAAGUCAAAGCAUCGCUACACUGGACUUCUGAGAAAUGGCAACAGACCAGCGGAGACACUACAACAGGAACACUCCACCUCUAACACCAAACAAGUAAACAGAAACAACAGACAGAAUCAAAUAAAGAUUCACAUUCAUUACUUGGAACCAGGUUAGUGAAAAAAAUUAUAAAUAUUUUGGUUAUUUAAACAAGAUGAGUCUCUAUUUGCUAUUAUCCAUGUAAAUAGUUCUAGUUAUAAUG